CCUACGGGAGGCAGCAGUGGGGAAUAUUGGACAAUGGGCGAAAGCCUGAUCCAGCAAUGCCGCGUGAGUGAUGAAGGCCUUCGGGUCGUAAAGCUCUUUUACCAGGGAUGAUAAUGACAGUACCUGGAGAAUAAGCUCCGGCUAACUCCGUGCCAGCAGCCGCGGUAAUACGGAGGGAGCUAGCGUUGUUCGGAAUUACUGGGCGUAAAGAGUACGUAGGCGGUUAUUCAAGUCAGAGGUGAAAGCCCGGGGCUCAACCCCGGAACUGCCUUUGAAACUAGAUAACUAGAGUCUUGGAGAGGUUAGUGGAAUUCCGAGUGUAGAGGUGAAAUUCGUAGAUAUUCGGAAGAACACCAGUGGCGAAGGCGACUAACUGGACAAGUACUGACGCUGAGGUACGAAAGCGUGGGGAGCAAACAGGAUUAGAUACCCUGGUAGUCCACGCCGUAAACGAUGAUAACUAGUUGUUCGGUCACUUGGUGACUGAGUGACGCAGCUAACGCAUUAAGUUAUCCGCCUGGGGAGUACGGUCGCAAGNUUAAAACUAAUGAAUUGAACGG
rnacentral:rRNA from 1 species